GGCUCCCUUUUCCCGAAACUUUUCAUUUCAAAUUCCUCUCUCUCCAAAACCAAAACGAGGCACCCCUCUCUCUCUCUCUCUGGAACUCCGAGAAAAACGCAGGCCCUCACUCUCGCUAUCUGGAACUCGUGCUCUGCUCCUCACUCUCCAAGCUAUUCAAGCGAGAACCUGUUUUCUCUCUCUAGGAAGAACUGUAAACCAGGCAGCUCCUCUAAACCAGAUGUUCCGAAUGCCAGUUUGUCUGAUCGAGGGUUUUGUUAUUCGAUCCCGUCUGUUCCUGAGGUCGUCUGUUCCUGAUGUCUACUGCUUUCUGUGCGUGUUGUUCAAGCAAUCUGAGUAUGGAGACCACAACUUCUAUCGGUCAUACCAUGCACCUGAAGUCCUGAAGAUCCAACUCAUUCGUUUAUGCAACAUAUUGUUGAAAAUCCAGCUGUUUUGUGUCAAAGCAUCUUGAAUUUGAGGGAGGGUGUUGACGUAUGGAUAUGGUGUUGACGUUUGGAUAUGUAUCAUACUGACAUGUAUCAGUAUGGAUACAUAUCUCUUGAUAAGAUUAGGUGGUGUAUAUCCAUAACCGUUUGUAUUUAUCUUUAACUGUUACUGGCAGCAUAUUUGGUGUCUAUCCAUAACCGUUGGUAUUUAUCUUUAACUGUUACUGGCCGUAUCAAUUUAAUAUACAGAGAGUUCUCUGCAGUAUUAUCAAAUUCUAACAUGGAAUCCACCACAUGUUCAAGCAAAAGACUGACCAAAAACCUAGAGGAUAAAGUCAACAAGUGAGAAAAUGGCGCCACUUACAAGGGAGUGUCUGGUUUGGUUUGUAGUCAGGGUGGUCAUGACAAGCGUAAUUGCCUAGUGAUGAAACUUGGCUUGUAAGUGCACGUCUGAUUACUUUAUUCAAUUAAAGUUUUAUUGUUACUUUAUGUAUUUGUCUAUUCAUUUUAAAAUAUAUAUUUUGUAAUAAACUAACAAAUCAUAUAUAUAUUUUAUAAUAAACUAACAAAUGAAGUAGUUUAUCCUCAUUCCGAGGCAUCACCCUUUUUUGUCAAAUAGAUGUAUUUCUUGUUCAUGCAUCAUUCUUUUUUUUUCCCUAAUAAAUGUAAUUCUUGUUCUUUGUAUU